UAAGUGAUGGCGACCGGCGCACGGGUGAGUAACACGUAUCCAACCUGCCGAUAACUCGGGGAUAGCCUUUCGAAAGAAAGAUUAAUACCCGAUGGUAUAAUAAAGCCGCAUGGUUUAAUUAUUAAAGAAUUUCGGUUAUCGAUGGGGAUGCGUUCCAUUAGGCAGUUGGUGAGGUAACGGCUCACCAAACCUUCGAUGGAUAGGGGUUCUGAGAGGAAGGUCCCCCACAUUGGAACUGAGGCACGGUCCAA
rnacentral:rRNA from 1 species